rnacentral:rRNA from 1 species
ACCUACCUUUGACUGGAGAAUAGCGCGAAGAAAUUCGGAUUAAUGCUCCAUGAGACCACAAUACCGCAUGAUAUAGUGGUAAAAGCUCCGGCGGUCAAAGAUGGGCAUGCGUGCCAUUAGUUAGUUGGUGAGGUUACGGCUCACCAAGACAACGAUGGCUAGGGGGUCUGAGAGGAUGAUCCCCCACACUGGUACUGAGACACGGACCAGACUCCUACGGGAGGCAGCAGUGACGAAUAUUGGUCAAUGGACGCAAGUCUGAAUCAGCCGUGCCGUUUGAUGGCUCAAUGCGGUGUGGUUUAGUCUUCUGCUUGGCUACAAUACGAAACUUCCUGAUGUGUCAGGAACUGACGGUAUAGACAUCGAGUAAGCAUCGGCUAACUCCGUGCCAGCAGCCGCGGGAAUACGGAGGAUGCAAGCGUCAUCCGGAUUCAUUGGGUUUAAAGGGUGCGUAAAAAAGAAUAGGUAAGUACAGUGGUGAAAGACUGCUGGAAAAAACGUAGGAAUAGCCAUUGAUACUGCUAUACUUGAGUGCAGUUGAGGUAGGCGGAAUGUGUAAUGUAGCGGUGAAAUGCUUAGAUAUUACACAGAACACCGAUUGCGUAGGCAGCUUACUAAACUGUAACUGACGCUGAGGCACGAAAGCGUGGGGAGCGAACAGGAUUAGAUACCCUGGUAGUCCACGCUGUAAACUAUGAUCACUCGCUGUUGGCGAUACAUUGUCAGCGGCUGAGCGAAAGCAUUAAGUGAUCCACCUGGGGAGUACGGCCGCAAGGUUGAAACUCAAAGGAAUUGACGGGGGCCCGCACAAGCGGUGGAACAUGUGGUUUAAUUCGAUGAUACGCGAGGAACCUUACCUGGGCUUAAAUGCAGAACGACGUACCGGGAAACUGGUACUCCCUUCGGGGCGGACUGCAAGGUGCUGCAUGGUUGUCGUCAGCUCGUGCCGUGAGGUGUCGGGUUAAGUCCCAUAACGAGCGCAACCCUCAUUGUUAGUUGCCAGCGAGUAAUGUCGGGGACUCUAACGAAACUGCCGGUGUAAACCGUGAGGAAGGUGGGGAUGACGUCAAAUCAGCACGGCCCUUAUGUCCAGGGCUACACACGUGUUACAAUGGCCAGUACAAAGGGCAGCUACCACGCGAGUGGAUGCUAAUCUCUAAAGCUGGUCUCAGUUCGGAUUGAAGUCUGCAACUCGACUUCAUGAAGCUGGAAUCGCUAGUAAUCGCGCAUCAGCCAUGGCGCGGUGAAUACGUUCCCGGGCCUUGUACACACCGCCCGUCAAGCCAUGGAAGCUUGGGGUACCUGAAGUCCGUAACCGAAAGGA